rnacentral:rRNA from 1 species
AUUGAACGCCGGCGGCAUGCUUUACACAUGCAAGUCGAACGGUAACAGGCCGCAAGGUGCUGACGAGUGGCGAACGGGUGAGUAAUGCAUCGGAACGUGCCCAGUCGUGGGGGAUAACGCAGCGAAAGCUGCGCUAAUACCGCAUACGAUCUAUGGAUGAAAGCGGGGGACCGUAAGGCCUCGCGCGAUUGGAGCGGCCGAUGUCAGAUUAGGUAGUUGGUGGGGUAAAGGCUCACCAAGCCAACGAUCUGUAGCUGGUCUGAGAGGACGACCAGCCACACUGGGACUGAGACACGGCCCAGACUCCUACGGGAGGCAGCAGUGGGGAAUUUUGGACAAUGGGCGCAAGCCUGAUCCAGCAAUGCCGCGUGCAGGAAGAAGGCCUUCGGGUUGUAAACUGCUUUUGUACGGAACGAAACGGUCCUGGUUAAUACCUGGGGCUAAUGACGGUACCGUAAGAAUAAGCACCGGCUAACUACGUGCCAGCAGCCGCAGUAAUAC